rnacentral:rRNA from 1 species
UACGGAGGGGGCUAGCGUUGUUCGGAAUCAUUGGGCGUAAAGGGCGCGUAGGCGGCCGACCAAGUCGGAUGUGAAAUCCCUCGGCUCAACCGAGGAACUGCACUCGAUACUGGUUGGCUAGAGUCCGGGAGGGGAUGGUGGAAUUCCCAGUGUAGCGGUGAGAUGCGUAGAUAUUGGGAAGAACACCGGUGGCGAAGGCGGCCAUCUGGACCGGUACUGACGCUGAGGCGCGAAAGCCAGGGGAGCGAAUGGG